AGGAUCCUUGAUUGCGAAAGUGUUGUGUCCAGACUCAUAACCCUAAUUAAGUAUCGAGGACAGCCCCUUACCCUUCCCUUCCUCAGAGGAGAAGAAGAUACCGUCACAGCAUCUCCGCACGUCCUUUCAUUCUGAAGUUGCAUCGGUGCACUCGGGCCUUUCACAUGCAUGGAUACUGUCCCGUGGCGUUGCAUUCUGUGUGAUCUCAUGUACUCCGGCGAAUUGAGCGACCAGAUUCCGCAAAGUGAGGUAGGCGAGAAGAAGAGAAGAAAGGAGAGGUGAGGUGACGAGACGGGGGAGGUGGGAGUGGCUGUGACUUGUUCUGUGGGAGGGCAUUUGUUGUGUGUGUGUGGCAGGUUAUUCCGCUGUAGCCAUCCCCCUUCUAGGUUUCCGGGCACGCCUCAGAUGCUGCGACCGCUGACCUUCAAUCGUUGCACGCGUUGUGUACUGUUAUAGCCGACUCCUCUCCCAUACCCUCGACGAGCCCUUUUUUUCUCUACUCGCUAGGUUUUCAUGGUCACAGUGUUAUUGUUUCCUUCACAGCUGGUUUUCCCUCUGCGGUUCUUGAGUUUCUCUUUCCUUGGGUUCUUGACAUCGUCUCGAUGCACUUGGCGUUCACUGUCAAGCUCUACAUGCUGUUUUGAAGCCGGCCUUGUCGCGGUAGAAUUUGCGCCCGGGUUUUUAUCAGCCGUCGUCCAAAUGAUUUACACUGCGCUUGACACCUUUUAUGUCACGGACGAGCAGCUUUCGAACUCGCCAUCCCGGAAAGAUGGGAUUGAUGACAAGACUGAAUCAAUCCUGCGUCGGUUUGGUUGUGACCUCGUGCAGGAGAGCGGUAUCUUGUUGAAAUUGCCUCAAGCAGUGAUGGCGACGGGGCAGGUUCUGUUUCAUCGAUUUUAUUGCAAAAAAUCUUUUGCACGAUUUAACGUUAAGAGGGUGGCAGCGAGUUGUGUCUGGCUAGCUGCUAAACUUGAAGAGAGUCCUCGUAAAAUUCACGAAGUCUUGCAAGUCUUCAAUCGCAUGGAGCAGAGACGGGGAAAUUUGCCCCUUGAGUUUUUAGAGUUAUCUUCACAGAAGUACGAGGAAAUGAAAACCGACUUGAUUAGGACAGAGCGUCAUCUGCUGAAGGAGAUGGGAUUUAUUUGUCAUGUAGAACAUCCUCACAAGUUUAUUAUAAGCUACCUGAAGGUUCUUGCUGCUCCUUCAGAGCUGAUGCAAGUUGCGUGGAACCUUGCAAAUGACAGCUUACGGAGCACACUCUGCGUGCGUUUCAAAAGUGAGGUUGUCGCGUGUGGAGUAGUUUAUGCUGCGGCUCGAAAGUUUAAAGUUCCAUUACCUGACAGGUGGUGGGAAGUGUUUGACGCUGAAUGGAGUGAUGUUCAAGUAGUCUGCAAGGUCCUUGCAGAGUUAUACAAACAACCGAAAGGUUAUUACAUUGAAGUUGGAAGAGACCCCAAGUCAUUUGUGUUGACCAGCAAAUCCUGGGAUAUUUCUACCGAGGCACAGGAAGGGCUUAUCAGAACCAUGGUAAAUGGAGCUGUUUCUGUUGAGCAGGUACCGACCAUAGUAAGCUCAGAUGCUGGUGCACAGAAAGGACCAGCUUUCAAAACGCCAGUAGACAAUUUGAAGCCCGAAAUUGUCAAGGAUAGGAGUCAUGAUCUUGACGAAGUACGCAAUCCGAAUGCUAAUGGUGAUUCGAGGGAUGAUCCUGGAGUAGGAAAGGAAAAGCCUUUCAAUCAUAUUGAAGAUGAAGGAAGGGAUAAGAGUAGGGAUAAGGAUAGGUCCAGGUCCAGGCUUCGCGAGUCUCGAGAUAUUGCCCGGGAUCAUGACGCUGAACGAGAACGGGCACGAGUUAGGGAUCGGGACAGGGAAAGGAGAGACAAGGAACGAGAGCGCGAUGAGCGGGAAAGCACAAAGGGGCGGGGCUACAGCCGGAAGGAAAGGGGAAGGGAUAUAGGUCAUGCCCAGAAGAUUCGGUACAAUGCAGAUCCUCGGGAGCGGGAUUUUCAGUUGGUCCGAGAGAAAGAUCGAUCUCAGCUCCAUCGUCGACAAAAUAUUUAAGGAGAUUCAAUUUGGAAAUAGGGUACCUGUUGUGCAUGAGUGGAAGGACUUGGGUUUUUUUAGUUCAAGUUAGGCAUGCAGGCAUGUAUGCUAUUUGAUUAUCAUAGCACAGUUUUCUGCACCGCCGGCCAGUGGAAGUACUUUUCCAGCUGUGCUAUUGUCUCAUAUUAGUAAAUGUUGCUGUUUAGGAUGAACUGAUUUCAGCAGCUCCAAUUGGCAGAAUUGAUCUCACACAGAACAUGGAACUUGGAGAGAGGAGACCUUGCUACAAGCGGAGUUGGAUGGACCCAGUCGGCAAUUUACGUGAUACAACUCCGCUGGUGCUUAGGUCAUUUUUCGGUGUCGGUUUCGCCAUUUUAUAUGUGAGUGAAGACGGGGCACUUAUUUUACUAAUCGCGGAUGUGCAUGUAUGUGCACAACACUGUAGCAGCCCCUCAUCCCUGCAAGAAGCUCCUUCUGUGCUCAAGGGAGAUAGCGCGGGGUAUAUCUACUCUUCACCUAGCUGGUGGUAAGUGCGGGCUAGCGAUCAGUUUUUGCUGCAUUUGACAGCUGCAGCAGGUAUUUUAACAGACUUCAGGCACAGGCUCUAAAUAAGAGUUUUUUUAGUCUAAAAGUUGAGAUUCUCAUGAAUUUUGUGAAGUCAGAUAGCGAUAUUCGGGUUGUGCAGCGUGUUCUCAUCUUUCCUCUGGUUGCCACCUGCUUAUGUGAUUACCCGAGUUGCUAUCCUUGUUAGGAAUUGACUUGUUUGUUGUUGCUUGUUAACGUGUUAUGGUUCUAUUGACCACAAUCUUGGAAGACACUUGCAAGGAGGUUAGUGCCACAGUACUGUUGUUUACAAAAUAUUUGGAGAGGUUUUCUGCGGGUAUGUAAUUAGGUGAAUUUUAUUAAUGUUUCGUAGUUUUAUCGAAUUCAUAGCAUUGACUAUGUUGUAGUGGCUGUCCGGAUGGUCUCUUAACAUGUACUUUAUCAUUAAUAGUCCAAUUAGCUUUGAAUGAAUCCCUAGGGUGAUCAAUGCAUUUGGUUCAGAUUGACUGAGGAUUUUGAGCUCGAAAAUUGGUUGAUACAAACGCCUAGGUUAUGUGCGAAGGGUAUGGCAGCUUUUGACGAUUGGAAGCCAGAGGAACAGGUAUGCUAUGUCAGUUGUAAAUCAUGCUCAGGUAGUUGGUAGUUGCUUAAUAGAAUGAUUCUAUGUGUAACUUUGGUUAGUAGUUAAAAAGAUAUCUUUGAUUCCAAGGCAAAACGUUGGCACUUGUUCUCUAGGUGGGGAAUAUACUGUAGGAUUUACAAGUUUGAUCAUCUGUGCUCUACUUUGCACAUUGUAUGGUUUAAGGUAUAGUUUCAAACCCUGUGUGAUUCUAUGAAUGAUACUUGAUUAAUACUCGAUACUGUAAAAAUACUCGAAUAAUUUGUUAAACUAAUGAUUUGGAAAGAAUUAGAAAUCUAAUGACAAUUUUUCAGGUACUGGCUGCUUCCUGUUGGAUGCAAGGGACAUCAAUAAUGGUAACCGAAUGUGUCAUGCACUAAUGCUGGGUGCCAAUUUUUAGUGUUAGUCAUAGUUGUACGUCAUUGCUCUGCGGACCAUGUCAUGCUCUUCACGGCAGUAUCAGAUGUUACACGGUCGGAUUAUUUCCUGAGUAUGGUUGGUUGUUUGCGUCUUAAGACAUUCUUAUGACCUGAGUUGUGAAGUAUUAGUCCCUGGUUGUAUAGCUAUUUUCUUUUUGCCUUAUCAUCUUUUCAUUUUGUGAAUAGUUUAGUAUUUUAUUUCAUGUUUCUUCUAUUUUUUUUCUUCUCACGUCCAUGUGUACAAAAAGAGCAGUGGCAACAAGCUUUUGCAAUCUCGAAUUGAAGUUAAUAACUACCGGGUUCCCUCUUUCUGUGCUCUUCUGAUUUUUAACAGCAUAUGCCUAAGCAUAUACAGGUUAUAUCAGAGCAUCGUUAUCCUCAAGUUAUCACGUUUUGGCUAGAACCUGCAGUAGUUGAUUAUGUCUACCUGGUGCCAACAUAGAUUUGCUUAGCUUGUUACUACCUUGUUCAGCCUUAAGCUUCAAAUUUCUGAAUGAAUGUUUGAAGUUCAUUACUGACAAAUGAACAAUACAGUUCUAUUGUCGGACAUGAAUUUCAUUUCCGAAGUAAGCAAAAUCCACGCUUUAGUACCGCCGGUUUGCUGGGUACCGAAGCUGCUAUGUGAAUGUCA